UUUCUGUCGCGGGGGGGCGUGAGGUGGCUGGCGUGGAGUGCACCGCGGGCGCGGGGGCGUUAAGCGUCGCGCAGGAGAGUGGAGAGAGCGGUCGCAUGUGAAGGACUCGCGUGCUGGCGGUCUGCGUGUGCCCGCUCUCUCCGUGAGCUUGCUGCCCGUUUUCGUGCCCCAUCUGAGUGCCCUAUAGUUGUACUGUGCCCUGCGGACUUUGGUGAACGUGUGUGGAUCCUAUCCGAACACGUUCGGUAUCAUCCAAGAGAAUGUGGCAGCUGAAGCGGAGAGUCCAAGAAAGAGGCCAAGGGUGAAGCUGAAUGAAGACAUUUAGCCACCCCCUGAAGUACGUGGUAGCAUCCAAUCCUCUUGCUGAGCUGCAGGAGUGUGCUCCCCAUUGCACUGCACCAGCUACAUGUACUGAUUUCGGGUGUGAACUUGAUGGGAUUGGAGGAAACUCGACUCGGCCAUCAAGCUCACCACAAUAUAAUAUGAAAAGUGAAAAUUGCUGCACACAACAGUCUGCCGUCUGCGCCGGGAGGCAAGGCAGCUCAAAGCCCAGGCUGUUACAACUCCUGGGCAGUUUUUGCCCAGAGCCAGCAAUUUUUUAGAUCCAAUAGGGGUGGAUUUUUUCUAAGGUCAGGUUCAACAUGCUGCAAGAUGCCAAGAUCUAAGCCUAGUAGGAGAUAUGGGUUACAAGAGAGGAGGUUUGCUCUGGCCUUAUACUAUCAAAGUCCAAAUGCUAAUAGAUUUCUAAGCACAGUAUUUCACUUGCCUUCAGUUUCAAUACUUCACUCAUGACUCAGGGGUAUUUCAGUAAAUGUUGGCUGGAGCAAACAGACUCUGACAGCCCUGCAGCAAAGAGCACAGGCUUUGUCAAAAGAAGAGAUACUUCGUGGGAUUUGCCAUUAUUUAGUAUUACUCUUGUUACGCCAAAAAUAUUUUUCCAUAUACUUUGCCAAAUAUUGCAAGUAAUGCACCAUUGUUGGUCUUGUCUGUUAUAAAUCAGAUCUUGUUCAAUUAACAAGCUUUGGGUGUCUGCCACUUUCCAGUUGUAAUGCAAGGAAUCAUUUAUCUCCCCUGCCAGAUAUCACAUGUAAUGCACCAUUGUUGGUUUUGCCUGUUAUAAAUCAGAUCUUUUUCAGUUAACAAGCUUUAGGUGUCUACCACUUUCCAGUUGUAAUGCAAGGAAUCAUGUAUCUCCCCUGCCAGAUAUCGCAUGUAAUGCACCAUUGUUGGUUUUGCCUGUUAUAAAUCAGAUCUUGUUCAGCUCACAAGGAAGCUUAUCUGCCAUUGUUUAUUUCAGGUGUAAUGCUUGGAAGCAUUUGUUCUCUACCCUACCCAACAGUAUGCAAUGCUUCAUUGUGGAUUUUGCCUGUUAUAUUUAAUCUUGUUCAGGUAACAAGCUUUUGGUGUCUGCCUUACCUAAUAAUGUGCUGCAGUGACACUUGUCUUGGUUUCAUAAUGUGAAAUACAGCAUGUAAUUUCAUCACACUAAGUGUUUAUCUUCACGUGUCUGGCAUCAUUAAUGUGGCUUCCAAGAGUAAUCUUGUUUGUAUUACAGCAUGCAAUGUUUUUUUCUGCUUUAUAUGAUAUACAUAAUCACAUAGGUAUGAUUUUUUUUUACAAAAUGUAAUGGCAGUUGAUUUUCUUGACUAAUGCCUCAUAAACCUUGUG